UACUUAGGUCCCGAGCGUUGUCCGGAUUUAUUGGGUUUAAAGGGUGCGUAGGCGGACUGUCAAGUCAGCGGUAAAAUUGAGAGGCUCAACCUCUUCCCGCCGUUGAAACUGGUGGUCUUGAGUGGAUGAGAAGUACGCGGAAUGCGUGGUGUAGCGGUGAAAUGCAUAGAUAUCACGCAGAACUCCGAUUGCGAAGGCAGCGUACCGGCAUCCAACUGACGCUGAGGCACGAAAGCGUGGGUAUCGAACAGG
rnacentral:rRNA from 1 species